rnacentral:misc_RNA from 1 species
CAAGAAUCGAGGCUGACACUGCCUAGUGACUAGGCAGUGUCCAGUCCCGCUCUUUACCUUGCCUACUGCACCGUUUGUUGCUUCCUGGCGGCGGCGUCCCGUCGCCAGGUGCUUUUGAAAACCCCAAGUGUAAGCAUUGAAACUUCUGACAUACGCUAAAUCGUA